rnacentral:lncRNA from 1 species
CUGAAGGUGGGCUGGGUGCUCGGGGCGUUUCUAGGCCUCUGCCCUAUUGUGAGGUCACGGGCUGACUGUGACUCUUGGGUGACAUCACAGAGCUCACAGGUAGAUGGAGAUUUGCUUUCUGGUAGGUGUUGCGUUCAUAGUUUUCAGGUAGAGUUUUCAGAGUUAGAAGUUAAAUAGAGUCUGGCAAGCAGGAGUUCACCCAAGGACUUCCACAGCGGCUGUUUCACAAAUACUGAACAUUAAAUGAUUUUCUGAAGUAUCAGACGUAACAGAUGUUGGAUUGCUGUUGAUAAAUGCACCAGCUGGAAUAGCUCUGGUACCGGAUAUAAAAUCAGUGCUAUCCCGGGUAGUUUUUACCGGGUGGUAAUGGGGCAGUGCUUCCUUCCCCUUCUCCUAACCUUGCUUAGUUUCCCUCUCAGUGGUGACUGACUUUUAACGUGACUUGGGUGGAGAGUGAAGUACUGUUGUAAAGCCGUAGAUUGGCUUGGGUCGGUAGGGGCCUCAAAGACCAUCUGGUUCCCACCCCCCUGUUGCGGGCAGGGUUGAAAACCGC